AUUGAACGCUGGCGGCAGGCCUAACAUAUGCAAGUCGAGCGGAUGAAGAGAGCUUGCUCUCUGUUUCAGCGGCGGACGGGUGAGUAAUGCCUAGGAAUCUGCCUGGUAGUGGGGGACAACGUUUCGAAAGGAACGCUAACACCGCAUACGUCCUACGGGAGAAAGUGGGGGAUCUUCGGACCUCACGCUAUCAGAUGAGCCUAGGUACGAUUAGCUAGUUGGUGAGGUAAAGGCUCACCAAGGCGACGAUCGUUAACUGGUCUGAGAGGAUGACCAGUCACACUGGAACUGAGACACGGUCCAGACUCCGACGGGAGGCAGCAGUGGGGAAUAUUGGACAAUGGGCGAAAGCCUGAUCCAGCCAUGCCGCGUGUGUGAAGAAGGUCUUCGGAUUGUAAAGCACUUUAAGUUGGGAGGAAGGGCAGUAAGUUAAUACCUUGCUGUUUUGACGUUACCGACAGAAUAAGCACCGGCUAACUUCGUGCCAGCAGCCGCCGUAAGAC
rnacentral:rRNA from 1 species